rnacentral:misc_RNA from 1 species
GGUGAAGCUUUUCUAUAAUCUGACAAUUUUGUUGAAGCAUGUAAAAAGCUUCAUCCUCUCUUUUACCUCUGCAUGGUGCAUGCUUUUAAGUCAUGGUUUAUCUACCAUUUGAUUAUUAAAAUCUGAUGAAUUUUAACAGUUAGUGACUGAUGCAUCAUCAACAGGAAUGUAUAAAGCAUUGCAUUUUCAUUUGACUGUUCUCAUGGUCCAUGGUUUGUAUAUAUGUUGAAUUGUGCUCCUUAUGAAAAAGGGAAGCUAGGUCUUGUGGCAUAGUUUGAGGGAAAUUUGAUAUUAUGACACAGUUACUUGAUACUUCUUUUGGUUGCAUGUAUUGUGUGCAUUAAUGACAAUGACAUAUUUAAAAAUUGGUGUUUAAGACCCAAAGGUUUAUGGAUUUACAUAUUUUGUUCUCUCUAGCUCAUGCGCUGAGAAUCUAGGAACAUGCUAAAGGCUUACUUGAGGAUAAGAUUUUUGUUCUAUGCUUUUUAAGUUUCUAUAAAAUUGAUAUUCAGCUCAAUUAAUUUUCAAUGCAAACUGUUUUAUCAGCUACAAGGAUACAUUUCCUUCAUUCAAAUUUGUUUAGGAGUCAGGAGCUAUUCUCCUUUGUGAAGAUUUAUAUCUCGUUCAAAUCUGGUUGAUUGUUG